AUUUUGUUUCCUUAAAUAUGUUUGAGUGAUAUCAUUUUAAAUUUCAUGUUUGACUGACUCACCCACAACCCCAUUAUAAUGGGGUUCGACUUCCUGGGACGAACACGCUGAGGUCAUCGUAGAACUAACUUGAAGCCGCAGGCCUACUAGCCUAGACACCUGGGUAUGGGAAAGCAACACCACUUAGAGGAACCUCUUGUCUACCCUGUGUUUGGAGGCGAGGACCCUUUUUGAGUCUGUCGGACCUGGAGUUUUUCAACGCUAGAGUACAUCCAUGGGCAACUACCUACUUCUGUCCACCUCGCCAACACACCUCAAAAUUGCUCGAUACUCAGGUGACUUCUAAACUUUUUGGAAAUUAUUUUGCUUCAGCGGAUGGACUGAUCUACAACUUUCAAAGUGAAAUCUAAAUUAGGCCUAGGCCUAUUUGAACUUAGUGGGUGCACCCAUGGACUCAAAUUAACUUCAUGUAUACAACUUUAUAAAUUUUGGUUAUUAUUUCUGGCCUAACUUUAACUUGGUGAUUUCCAGCGAAUUUUUGGUAGAGAUUCUUGUAACGUUAAACUGUUUUAUCUGUUCUGAAUUUUAGCUUUAACUUUAACUCAUUUUAUAUUGAAUUUUAUUCUGUAAACCCAUACUGGGAAGAAUUAAAAGAUGUUUUGAUUAAAUUUCACUUAACUUUAACUUUUAUAAAUUUUUUGGCCAAGCUUCAAUAGGUUACAGCACAGACUUGGUGUCCCAGGAAUUACUGUUUAGAUUUAUAGUUAGUUUCUUUAUUGCAGGUUGUAAUUUUAUUUAAGUAUUUGUAUCUUUUAAGAGUUUUGGGCCCAAAAUCUCGUCUUGUGUUAAGGUUGGCGAAACAAAGGUUUUAGUUGAUAAGUAAUUCAACAUUUUGACUUUUCAGGUGUUAAUUAUUUAGGAAUUUGUCUACGCUUUUAUCAUACUUGUAGUAAAUUUGUCAUUUAUGGUUUGAACCAGUUUGUAAAAGGGUAUUUGUUUUUCUUUUAAUAAAUCAGGGUGAGUCAGUUA